AUUGAACGCUGGCGGCGUGCCUUACACAUGCAAGUCGAACGGCAGCACGGGUGCUUGCCCCUGGUGGCGAGUGGCGAACGGGUGAGUAAUACAUCGGAACAUGUCCUGUAGUGGGGGAUAGCCCGGCGAAAGCCGGAUUAAUACCGCAUACGAUCCACGGAUGAAAGCGGGGGACCUUCGGGCCUCGCGCUAUAGGGUUGGCCGAUGGCUGAUUAGCUAGUUGGUGGGGUAAAGGCCUACCAAGGCGACGAUCAGUAGCUGGUCUGAGAGGACGACCAGCCACACUGGGACUGAGACACGGCCCAGACUCCUACGGGAGGCAGCAGUGGGGAAUUUUGGACAAUGGGCGAAAGCCUGAUCCAGCAAUGCCGCGUGUGUGAAGAAGGCCUUCGGGUUGUAAAGCACUUUUGUCCGGAAAGAAAUCCUUGGCUCUAAUACAGUCGGGGGAUGACGGUACCGGAAGAAUAAGCACCGGCUAACUACGUG
rnacentral:rRNA from 1 species